AGAGUUUGAUCCUGGCUCAGAGUGCAUGCUGGCGGCGUGCCUAAUACAUGCAAGUCGAACGAUGAAUCUUCUAGCUUGCUAGAAGUGGAUUAGUGGCGCACGGGUGAGUAAUGCAUAGGUUAUGUGCCCUUUAGCCUGGGAUAGCCACUGGAAACGGUGAUUAAUACUGGAUACUCCCUACGGGGGAAAGUUUUUCGCUGAAGGAUCAGCCUAUGUCCUAUCAGCUUGUUGGUGAGGUAAUGGCUCACCAAGGCUAUGACGGGUAUCCGGCCUGAGAGGGUGAUCGGACACACUGGAACUGAGACACGGUCCAGACUUCUACGGGAGGCAGCAGUAGGGAAUAUUGCUCAAUGGGGGAAACCCUGAAGCAGCAACGCCGCGUGGAGGAUGAAGGUUUUAGGAUAGUAAACUCCUUUUGUUAGAGAAGAUUAUGACGGUAUCUAACGAAUAAGCACCGGCUAACUCCGUGCCAGCAGCCGUGGUAAUACGGAGGGUGCAAGCGUUACUCGGAAUCACUGGGCGUAAAGAGUGCGUAGGCGGGGUAAUAAGUCAGAUGUGAAAUCCUGUAGCUUAACUACAGAACUGCAUUUGAAACUGUUACUCUGGAGUGUGGGAGAGGUAGGUGGAAUUCUUGGUGUAGGGGUAAAAUCCGUAGAGAUCAAGAGGAAUACUCAUUGCGAAGGCGACCUGCUGGAACAUUACUGACGCUGAUGCAGGAAAGCGUGGGGAGCAAACAGGAUUAGAUACCCUGGUAGUCCACGCCCUGAACGAUGGAUGCUAGUUGUUGCCUUGCUUGUCAGGGCAGUAAUGCAGCUAACGCAUUAAGCAUCCCGCCUGGGGAGUACGGUCGCAAGAUUAAAACUCAAAGGAAUAGACGGGGACCCGCACAAGCGGUGGAGCAUGUGGUUUAAUUCGAAGAUACGCGAAGAACCUUACCUAGGCUUGACAUUGAUAGAAUCUACUAGAGAUAGUGGAGUGCCCUUCGGGGAGCUUGAAAACAGGUGCUGCACGGCUGUCGUCAGCUCGUGUCGUGAGAUGUUGGGUUAAGUCCCGCAACGAGCGCAACCCUCGUCCUUAGUUGCUAGCAGUUCGGCUGAGCACUCUAAGGAGACUGCCUUCGUAAGGAGGAGGAAGGUGAGGACGACGUCAAGUCAUCAUGGCCCUUACGCCUAGGGCUACACACGUGCUACAAUGGGGCGCACAAAGAGGAGCAAUAUCGCGAGGUGGAGCAAAUCUCAAAAACGUCUCUCAGUUCGGAUUGUAGUCUACAACUCGACUACAUGAAGCUGGAAUCGCUAGUAAUCGUGAAUCAGCCAUGUCACGGUGAAUACGUUCCCGGGUCUUGCACACACCGCCCGUCAA
rnacentral:rRNA from 1 species